CCCCCCCCCGGAGGGAAGGCCACCGCCACACGCCGUCGGGGGCCACCAGCUCGACGAGGAGACACACGGGAUAGCAAGCUCGUCCUCCUCAUCCUGGCGUCCAUGCCCUUCCUCUCUGAGGCCUGUUUAAUUCAAAUGAGGGCAGCGGCGGGACAUUCCUCUGAGGACCAGCAUUUCCUGCUUGACUGCACCACCGCAGACAAAGUAUGAACACAGGAGAAGAGGCGGGAGAGGAGCCUACGAAGGUGGAACUUAAUCCAUCUGAAAAUUCUGUCAGAGACGGUGGGUGAUAGACGCAGAGAAUAUCUAUCAAUCUGAUGAGAUGUCCCAACGUACUGCCAAAUGAGCCAUCCUCUGCACUGCGGGGCAAGAGGGGGAGUGAAUGCAAUUUGAAACACAGGCACAGCAGAGUACAUUCAGAAGUUCUAAUGAGCCUCUGUCUCCAGACUGUCCAUCAGCCCUGACUGGCACACAUCGAAGUCAGACCUGUAGCACUUCAUCUCUUUAUCAUCCAAAAUUCAUCGGUGACUGAAGACAGCCAGGAGGGGGGACCGGGCACUUGUGAUCAGUUAUGUUGCCCUUAUUAAUUCACAUAUCUUGUCACGUGGAAACAGAUAUCAGGGUUAGUCCCAUGUGUUCAUCUCUGCUGUUGCAAUUGUCGAUAUCGAAGCCUCAGCUUUUAGUCUCAGAGCACUGAACAAACCGGCAAAAGCGUAAGAAUUCUUUGGCGCAGCAACGCUGAAAGAAAGCUCGCUAAAAUGAUUCUGAAUAAGCGUUCCGAGCCACCCAAAAAUAAUUAUAGAUCCAAAAACCACAAGUUGUUGAGGGUGAGUGGAUUCAAGGUUGGGCUUUAAUUGCUGUUAUUUGACGGGGAAAGCGCUAGAUGGCGCUACAAAGCUGUGCAUAAAAAGCAGACUAACGGAAGUUUGAAAGAUACUGGCUUUAGUUUACUCCUCACUGUAAUUUCAUGAAACAGGAAGCACUUUGACAUUCUAGACACGGAUAAAAUAAAUUGAAAAAACUAUCUUAUCAAUGUUUAUCUUUUUCUUCUAACGCAGUUAAAAGGAUCCGGGCGCAUCGAUACGCACGCUACCAUGUAUGACUG